CAACAGCAAAACUAGAAAAUUCUGGUGACUGGAAAAGGCCUUCAGAGAGAGGGAAGCAGUAUGCUGGGUCCAAGUGCAACUGCCCAUUUGAACCUGAGUGAAUUAGGUUUGUUUCCUCUCAGUCAGUUCCGGGCACUUGUUGUAUUUUGAUCAUCCCAGCAUGCGGGCCAAUUGGUUACAGUUCAAAGACUGGGCAGCACAACAUAAUUAAGAAGCGACUGACUUCUGGGAAAAGAUGAAAAGAGCUCAGAGUCUGAGAGCUGUGUGGCAGAAAACCCUGGAAGGAGGUGAUCACCCUUUCCAAGAAUUGAAAUUCAGUAACUAAAAGGCUACAAGAGGACCUUCUUGGGGAGCUGGGAGUGGUUCAAAAGGUAUGGGAUAUAUUUGAACAGUGAGAAUUCCAGAGUGAGGUCUCAAGAGGAAACUUCCUUGUGGGUGUCUGCAGGCUUAAUCUAUGGAGGAAAUGAUAGAAUUCCUUCCCAAGAGUUAGUAGGUGAAAUAGGAAGAGAAAUGCAAGCCAAACAGAUGAUGUGAUUUUGUUCUUCAGUGAGUGUUGUAUGAGAACUUAAUAGAGUGGGUCAGCUUCUCCCUGCCCUGGGGUGAGAAAGCAUCUGCUCUAAACCACACUGCAGGGGGGACCUUGAUUUGAAGGGAAGGGAAUUCACAUUGUAUCUGAGGCUAACCAACAACUCUGACAUCAUUUAGAGUAAGGGUUGGCAAAUUUUCCACAAAGAGACCGAUUGUAACUACUCUGGGGCCUGUGGGUCUGUGUCAACUGCUGAACUCUGCCUUGGUAGGUUGGAGGCAGUCACAGACAAUAUGUAAAUAAUGUGCAUAGCUGUGUUUCAAUAAAACUUUAUUUAUAUAAACAGAGCCCAGGAAGCCUGGGAGAGUCUGAGAGGUCUGAGCUGGCUGUGUGACCCCAGACCAGUUAAUUAACCCUUCUGAACAUCACUUUUCUUGACUCUAAAAAAGGAGUCCUGGAGUGCCCACCAUGUGAGUCUGCUCUCUGAAUCAAAUAGAACCAUGCCUGAGUAGCCUUCAGCGUAGGACUCGGCACAUAUAAGUACUGAAAUAGAAGAAAGGUGGUAAAAAGGAAGGCAGGUGUUGUUACAAUUCUUAUCUCAUUGUGUGUGGGUUUAUGUAACUCCAGUUUUCUCCAGUUUCUUUCUCCUCAAGUUCAAGGACCUGCUGCUUUGGCACAUAGUGGGUCUCUAGAAGCAGAAGUAGGGUGGUAGAUUGGAUGCCCAGGAUUUAGCCGGGCGAGGUGGGGCAGGGCAGCCGGGCAGGACAGGGAGGGGUUUAAGCCGAGGUUGUCUUAGCUGCGGUCCACCUUCCUCCCUAUCCCGCUGGAACCUCGGAAGCACCCGUGGCACCACAGUGUCACCUGGAGGCAGAGGGGCUGUCCCUUCACACCCUGAGCCGCUCAGUUGGUUACUGGCUGUGAGCGGCCCUGUGGUGGGGGGACAGUCCCCCAGGUGAGCUCGCAGCUUUCGCGCUGAUGGCAGCUCCAAGGAGGAGCAGCUGAAGCUGCCGUGAGCAACGCAGCGGCUGGGAAGCUGCUCUGCCUGCUGGGAGCUGGGAGGCGGCAGCCUCAGCCUCGUACACAGAGCCUGGUGAUGCUCUGAGGUUGUGCCCUAACCACCCACGAGACUAGGCUGCUUACAGGAACAGGGAGAGGCGCAGAGCCGAGGGACAGGAAGUGGCUUCUUUCCCAGUGACUCGUGGCAUUUCCUUUGCCCAGAGGAGUGACUGGCAUCACCCAGACGACCGAACCCUGAGCGUGGCACAAACGCCGAUGAUACCACCGUUAGCACCUGCCCGGGCUUCUGGGGACUAGUGGGUCCUAGCCUGGUCACUGGGGCCAGGUCACCCUGAGCCGGUCGCUUGGUGUUCCUAAGCCUCAGUUUCCUCAUCUGUAAAUUGGGGAUAAAUAAUAUUUCUUAAUUCAUAGAGUUUUUGUGAGUAUUAGAGUUAAUGCUCGUGAAAUAUUUUACAAACAUCAAGUGUCUGGCUCCCUUUAAGGAAAGUUGAAUGUAUGGUAAAUUUUUUUUCUUUUUUACUUUCUUCGUGGGGGCGGUAUGUUUUGUUUUCACUUUGAGAAGUGGUGUUGUCCAGUUCACCGUUUCUCCAUUGUCAUUUGCAUGUUACUUUGGAUUUUGUCAUACCUCUCACCACCUAAUAUUCAUUAACUGACUCUUUAAAAACAGCCUUAAACACUGUAGACUCACAGGUCAGACCAG